ACACUGUAAAAUCCAAUAGCUGUCUUAACUUGAAAGACAUGAGUUAGCUGUAGUUGGGUAUCAAUAAUUUGUGCUUCUUAAUUGGUUUUCGAAAGUAAAGGUUAAUUUCAUGGUGAAAAAAAGCUACUUACUUAUUGUUUUAAGUGAAUAUAACUUUGUUUGAAGUCUUCUUAACUUGCUUAGAGCGACUAAUUUGGAGCAUGCGCAAUAGAAGCCACGCCCACCAACGUUCAGUCUCCUGCUCAGGACCGUUAGUGGUGCCGAUAGGACUGUGCCGACACAUUUUCUGUAGAUUUCAUCGCAUGUGGAACAAUAAGAAGUGCUUGUGGCAACUGCCUUGAGGGAUCUUCACAGCUGCUUUGGCAGUUGGCCUCAGUACACGGGAGGAGGGUCCUUAUCAACAGCUUUCCCACUGCGGAGACGGGAGAUUGUGGAGGCUGAACCUCCAGUGAAAACCCUGAAAGAACGCUGGCCAGCUCUUUUUACAGAGAGACAAGUGUUUGCUGAGUUCAACAGAAUAGCUACAACAAACCUGGAGAAUGACUUUUUUGGUGCUGUUGACCGCUACACACCACACUUUGUCACCAUCUUCAAGUCCAAGAAAGGAAGUGUUGGAGAGAAACUGGCUGAGAUUGUGCAGCAAAUUGAUUCAAGGAAACCAGAUGUGACAGCAGUGCGUACCCUUGUUCUCCAAGGCAUCCCUGUUCUGCUUGGUGAUGACCCUAGUAACUUCUACAACACCUCCUUUGAUUCUGACAGUCAGGAGGCCUGGGCCCAGGUAUCUGUUGGGUUGCUGACUAUCAUCAGUGAAGAUGCGCCUAUCUCUCCAAAUCAUCUCCAUCUUGACCCGGUCUCUACUGCCAUCAUUCUUGAAGGAGGUAUUGUAAUGGACAGUCUCCAGAACCUACCUCAAGCACUGUGCCUCUUGUUUGGGUUGUCCUAUGCACUGCACUUGGACUACCCUAAAACCAUGAAAAACACAUUCAACUUCAUUCAACGAGUGAUGCUUGGCCUGGGAGGCAACAAACUCCCCCCCAAACUUCAAACUCUUAAAAAUCUCCUGUUGAGUUAGGAUGGUAAAAAUCAAUAGUGACAUUUGGAAUACAGUUUUGUUUAUAAAAGUGAGUCCAGCUGCUUUUAAUUGUUAAGUAAAUAAAGGCACUCCUUUCAUAUUGUUUUAUAUCAGCCCCCGGGUCCAUCAGCAAGUUACAUUUAGAGGCUGCAGGUGUAUGGUCAUUCAUACAUGCGUUAAAUUGGUUGCCAUAGUUAUAAACUAACUGGAUGUCACCUGUACUUAGGGUUAGGCAGAUUGAUUCUGUCAGCACUUGAUUCUUUACCAAGUUUGGUCUUUAAACUUUGUUAUUACAAAAGUAAAGCACUUGUUCAGGAUUAUCUUAAAAUAAAGGUCAGGGUUGGAAUUUUCUUUCCAAAAAUGACAAAUUUAUGUCUUUUUAUAAAGCCAAAUAAAUUGGUUGCCUAUUAUUACUGGAAUAUUAUUGAAGAACACUUUUGUUACCGAUGUGUCUAUAGGUAGAUAGGCAAACAGUCAGUCCAACAGAGUUCGUUGUUCACACCCCUUGGUGUUGCUUUCACUCUGUACUUGAAAAGAAAAAAGUUUUUAUUUUUUAUGUUGUAUAGUUUUUAUUGUAUAUGCAGUGAAAUAGGCAUGUGUGUGUUCUGGUUCUGUGAGAAGAGAUAUUCUGUGGUUGGCACUAAUACCUUGACAUUGAUAAUUUUAGUCUGAAUGUUGUCUUCAAGUGGUACUGAUCACUUAUAGUAAUGAUUAACAUUUUAAUCUCCUCAAAACCAAUUAGUAUCUCUACCAGCUGUCUCAGGUGCAGAUUCGACUGUGAGUAUAUUUCCCAAAAUUCAUACUCCUGUAAAUAAUCCGGUAAAAAAAACAAUUACUUAGCAGUGAAGUCAAGAAUUCAUGGGCCAAAAUUUGACUGAAAUUACAGGGUGUAUCUGGGCCAAGCACACGAUAAUAAUAUUUAAGAUGAUAAAAUACAUUCAGAAUGAAAUUACAAAUGUCAAAGUAAUGCAUACUUCAUACCAGAUUCAAAUGGUUUUAAGUCUUUGAUUUUAACAUUGUAAACUAAAUGACAAUGGUUGAGGUUUAAGGAAUAAACCUGUUUCAACUAAA